GGAAUAAAAGUCGUAACAAGGUUUCCGUAGGUGAACCUGCGGAAGGAUCAUUAAUGUGUUUGGGCCUCACGGCUCUUCAUUCCGACGCUGUGCGCCUUCGGGCUGCACGCUGAGGGAGCAUAUAUCCACCCCUGUGCACACACACGGUGGCGAGCUGGGUAACGGCUCGCCGCUGAUCUUUACACACGUCUAAAAGUCAUUGUAUGUUUAUUUGAGAUAAAAACACAACUUUCAGCAACGGAUCUCUUGGCUCUC
rnacentral:misc_RNA from 1 species